GACUUUUUUUGCUAAGCGAGAUAAAAUGUGAGACAAAGGUGUCACCUUUUUAAUGUACCGUUAGGAGGCUUCCCAAUGCAAGGUAAAGUCAAGUGGUUCAACGCAGAAAAAGGCUAUGGUUUCAUCGAGCGUGAAGACGGUGGCGACGUAUUCGUACACUUCUCCGCAAUCCAAGCAGACGGUUUCAAAACCCUCGAAGAAGGCCAAGAAGUAUCCUUCGACAUCGUUGAAGGCGCUCGUGGCCCGCAAGCUGCGAACGUCACCAAGCUGUAAGAACUACAGAUUGUUGGACCCCGCAGUGUAAAGUCCUGGGAACUCAAUCCUGGGACUUUUUU
rnacentral:other from 1 species